AUUCUUUUAUGGCUCAAAAGUGUGACAACUGGAUUUUCAUGCCAUUGCAUGAGAUGUGCCUCCUUCAAGCCUUGCUACAGCACCAGCGCCUUACUAAUCUUACG
ensembl:snoRNA